CAGUAUGGGAGGGAGAAUGUUGGCAUGAGUAGCGAGAUGUGGGUGAGAAUCCCACAGGCCGUAAACCCAAGGUUUCCAGGGGAAGGGUCGUCCGCCCUGGGUUAGUCGGGACCUAAGCUGAGGCCGAAAGGCGUAGGUGAUGGACAACAGGUUGAUAUUCCUGUACUACCGAUAACCGUUUGAGAGAAGGGAUGACACAGUAGGAUAAGCUAAGCAC
rnacentral:rRNA from 1 species